GUGCGCCUACGGGAGACAGCAGUAGGGAAUCUUCGGCAAUGGACGAAAGUCUGACCGAGCAACGCCGCGUGAGUGAAGAAGGUUUUCGGAUCGUAAAACUCUGUUGUUAGAGAAGAACAAGGACGUUAGUAACUGAACGUCCCCUGACGGUAUCUAACCAGAAAGCCACGGCUAACUACGUGCCAGCAGCCGCGGUAAUACGUAGGUGGCAAGCGUUGUCCGGAUUUAUUGGGCGUAAAGCGAGCGCAGGCGGUUUCUUAAGUCUGAAGUGAAAGCCCCCGGCUCAACCGGGGAGGGGCAUUGGG
rnacentral:rRNA from 1 species